rnacentral:miRNA from 1 species
AAACACAGGGAAUCCACUGUUCAC